GGCAGUUCUCAGGUGACACACCCCGGAAUCAGGCUCCCUCCUCUCUGGUUCCGGGGUGCAUCACCCGAGAGCUGCA
rfam:Myotis brandtii contig240214, whole genome shotgun sequence.